AAAAUAGGGCGUUAAAAGAUGUAGGUAUAUUUUCUAUAGGCAAAUCCGUAGAGAAUGCUGAAGUCCAACAGUACCAGGAGGCUCCGGCCGAAUGGAUAGAGAAUGUAAGCAGACUUCCGAGAAAAUCUUCUAAGCAUAUUGAUACGGUACCCGUACCGCAAACCGACACAGGUAGUCAAGGAGAGAAUCCUGAGGUGCUCGAGUGAGUCAUGGCUAAGGAACUAGGCAAAUUAAACCUGUAACUUCGGGAAAAGGGUUGCCUCUCUUUAGCAAUAAAGAAGGUCGCAGAGAAAUGGCCCAGGCGACUGUUUAACAAAAACACAUGGCUAUGCGAAAUCGUAAGAUGAAGUAUAUGGCCUGACACCUGCCCGGUGCUGGAAGGUUAAGGGGGGAAGUUAGUCGCAAGGCGAAGCUUUGAACUGGAGCCCCAGUAAACGGCGGCCGUAACUAUAACGGUCCUAAGGUAGCGAAAUUCCUUGUCGGGUAAGUUCCGACCUGCACGAAUGGUGUAACGAUCUGGGCACUGUCUCAGCCAUGAGCUCGGUGAAAUUGUAGUCACGGUGAAGAUGCCGUGUACCCGUCACGGGACGGAAAGACCCCAUGCACCUUUACUAUAGCUUCGCAUUGACAUUGGGUAGAUGAUGUGUAGGAUAGGUGGGAGGCGUUGAUCCUGUGCCGCUAGGUAUAGGGGAGCCAACGGUGAAAUACCACCCUUUAUUUAUCUGAUGUCUAAUCCGCAAGACCUGCGGAGACAGUGCGUGGUGGGUAGUUUGACUGGGGUGGUCGCCUCCGAAAGUGUAUCGGAGGCUUUCAAAGGUAUGCUCAAUACGCUUGGUAACCGUAUGUGGAGUGCAAUAGCAUAAGCAUGCUUGACUGUGAGACUGACAAGUCGAGCAGGGUCGAAAGACGGAUAUAGUGAUCCGGUGGUUCUGUAUGGAAGGGCCAUCGCUCAAAGGAUAAAAGGUACGCUGGGAUAACAGGCUGAUCUCCCCCAAGAGCUCACAUCGACGGGGAGGUUUGGCACCUCGAUGUCGGCUCGUCACAUCCUGGGGCUGGAGAAGGUCCCAAGGGUUAGGCUGUUCGCCUAUUAAAGUGGCACGCGAGCUGGGUUCAGAACUCGUGAGACAGUUCGGUCCCUAUCUGUGAUGGGCGUAGGAAGUUUGAGAGGAUCUGACCUUAGUACGAGAGGACCGGGUUGGACCAACCGCUGGUGUACCGGUUGUGGCGUCAGCUGCAUCGCCGGGUAGCUACGUUGGGACGAGAUAAGCGCUGAAAGCAUCUAAGCGCGAAACUCACCUCAAGAUGAGACUUCCAUUAAGGGACGUCAGAGACUAUGACGUUGAUAGGCUGCAGGUGUAAAGGCAGAAAUGUCAAAGCUGAGCAGUACUAAUUACCC
rnacentral:rRNA from 1 species